ensembl:lncRNA LIPE-AS1 LIPE antisense RNA 1
AAGGUUUAAGUGCAUUUACUGAUGAUGGUCACAAGGUGGCAGCACUGCCUCACUGGUGUUUCCUAAGACCUCUGCUUGGACGUGGGCCAGUCUAAGGUGCUGUUAGGAUUAAGGGCAUGAAUGAGGCUAAAGCCACAACAACUGGAUUCUCUUUUCUGAUUUUUGCUGCAGCUUCUGCUUUGUAAUCAUACGGACAGUUGUGCUUGUCAGAGUUAACGGUGAAGUCCACAAAACAAAUUUCCACAUCGGCAGUCAAACCUAUACAGCAAGAAAGCAGCAUCUGCAAGAAAGCCCUCACCAGGACCAAAUCAGCUGACACCUCAACCUUGGACUACCCAGCUUCCCGAACUGUGAGUUUCUCCAUCAACUUAGCUGGCAGCUCCUGUCCCCAGCAGCAUCAGAGGCCCCAUGAAAAGAGCUCCAGCAGGGGCUCAGCCUGCAUGGGUCCCAUGCGGCAGCCUCAGUGUCAGAGCCUGGAUGGCAGUUUAAAGGAAGCAGCUGGCGAGAGGGGAGCCCAGCACACUAUGCAAGAGAGAUGCCUCUAAGAUUUUAUCUGUGGCCACCGACUGGAGCCAUUUGGACCGGGUACAGCAGUGGAAACUCUGUGAUGGUGACAAACAUGGGAAUCACUCUGAUGUGACGCAGUUAAAUUUACACCUUAAAAAAUGGAUGCCAAGACAACAUAAACAAGACCCAGGGACACCAACAGGGUAUGGUGCUGUGCCCCAGAGUCAGGGUCCUGGGUUCUUACCCAGGGAAGUGAGAAAUAAAGAUAACUUUUCCCUGCUCCCUCU